rnacentral:rRNA from 1 species
CCUACGGGAGGCAGCAGUGGGGGAUAUUGCACAAUGGGGGAAACCCUGAUGCAGCGACGCCGCGUGGGUGAAGAAGUAUUUCGGUAUGUAAAGCCCUAUCAGCAGGGAAGAAAGAAGACGGUACCUGACUAAGAAGCCCCGGCUAACUACGUGCCAGCAGCCGCGGUAAUACGUAGGGGGCGAGCGUUAUCCGGAUUCACUGGGUGUAAAGGGAGCGUAGACGGCCGUGCAAGCCAGGAGUGAAAGCCCGGGGCCCAACCCCGGGACUGCUCUUGGAACUGGGCGGCUGGAGUGCGGGAGGGGCAGGCGGAAUUCCUGGUGUAGCGGUGAAAUGCGUAGAUAUCAGGAGGAACACCGGCGGCGAAGGCGGCCUGCUGGACCGCGACUGACGUUGAGGCUCGAAAGCGUGGGGAGCGAACAGGAUUAGAUACCCUUGUAGUC